AUUGAACGCUGGCGGCAUGCCUAACACAUGCAAGUCGAACGGCAGCACAGCAGUAGCAAUACUGUGGGUGGCGAGUGGCGGACGGGUGAGGAAUACGUCGGAAUCUGCCCAGUCGUGGGGGAUAACUAGCCGAAAGGUUAGCUAAUACCGCAUACGACCGAGAGGUGAAAGCGGGGGACCGCAAGGCCUCGCGCGAUUGGAUGAGCCGACGUCGGAUUAGCUAGUUGGCGGGGUAAAGGCCCACCAAGGCGACGAUCCGUAGCUGGUCUGAGAGGAUGAUCAGCCACACUGGAACUGAGACACGGUCCAGACUCCUACGGGAGGCAGCAGUGGGGAAUAUUGGACAAUUGGGCGCAAGCCUGAUCCAGCAAUGCCGCGUGUGUGAAG
rnacentral:rRNA from 1 species